rnacentral:rRNA from 1 species
CUACAAUGGUCUGUACAAUGGGUAGCCAAGCCGCGAGGCGGAGCCAAUCCUGAAAGCAGGCCUCAGUUCAGAUUGCAGUCUGCAACUCGACUGCAUGAAGCCGGAGUUGCUAGUAACCGCAGGUCAGCAAUACUGCGGUGAAUACGUUCCCGGGUCUU